rnacentral:rRNA from 1 species
CCCUUAGAUGUUCUGGGCCGCACGCGCGCUACACUGACGAUGGCAACGAGUUUUUCCUUCGCCGAAAGGUGUGGGUAAUCUUUUGAAACAUCGUCGUGCUGGGGAUAGAUCAUUGCAAUUUUUGAUCUUGAACGAGGAAUUCCUAGUAAGCGCGAGUCAUCAGCUCGCGUUGAUUACGUCCCUGCCCUUUGUACACACCGCCCGUCGCUACUACCGAUUGAAUGGUUUAGUGAGGACUCCUGAUUGGCGCCGCCGCCCCGGGAACGGAGCAGCGGACUGCCGAAAAGUUGUUCAAACUUGAUCAUUUAGAGGAAGUAAAAGUCGUAACA